rnacentral:rRNA from 1 species
UACGUAGGGUCCGAGCGUUGUCCGGAAUUAUUGGGCGUAAAGAGCUCGUAGGCGGUUUGUCGCGUCUGCCGUGAAAGUCCGGGGCUCAACUCCGGAUCUGCGGUGGGUACGGGCAGACUAGAGUGAUGUAGGGGAGACUGGAAUUCCUGGUGUAGCGGUGAAAUGCGCAGAUAUCAGGAGGAACACCGAUGGCGAAGGCAGGUCUCUGGGCAUUAACUGACGCUGAGGAGCGAAAGCAUGGGGAGCGAACAGG